GACCAGACUCCUACGGGAGGCAGCAGUGGGGAAUAUUGGACAAUGGGGGGAACCCUGAUCCAGCGACGCCGCGUGAGUGAAGAAGUAUUUCGGUAUGUAAAGCUCUAUCAGCAGGGAAGAAGAAAUGACGGUACCUGACUAAGAAGCCCCGGCUAACUACGUGCCAGCAGCCGCGGUAAUACGUAGGGGGCAAGCGUUAUCCGGAUUUACUGGGUGUAAAGGGAGCGUAGACGGCGAAGAAAGUCUGGAGUGAAAGCCCGCGGCUUAACCGCGGAACUGCUUUGGAAACUUUUUGGCUGGAGUACCGGAGAGGUAAGCGGAAUUCCUAGUGUAGCGGUGAAAUGCGUAGAUAUUAGGAGGAACACCAGUGGCGAAGGCGGCUUACUGGACUGUAACUGACGUUGAGGCUCGAAAGCGUGGGGAGCAAACAGGAUUAGAUACCCCGGUAUU
rnacentral:rRNA from 1 species